rnacentral:tRNA from 1 species
ACCUGGCUGGCUCAAUUGGUAGAGCAUGCAGCUCUUGGUCUCUGGGUUGUGAGUUCAAGCCCCACGUUGGGUA